rnacentral:rRNA from 1 species
GACGAACGCUGGCGGCGUGCCUAAUACAUGCAAGUAGAACGCUGAAGGAGGAGCUUGCUUCUCCGGAUGAGUUGCGAACGGGUGAGUAACGCGUAGGUAACCUGCCUGGUAGCGGGGGAUAACUAUUGGAAACGAUAGCUAAUACCGCAUAAGAGUAGAUGUCGCAUGACAUUUGCUUAAAAGGUGCAACUGCACCACUACCAGAUGGACCUGCGUUGUAUUAGCUAGUUGGUGAGGUAACGGCUCACCAAGGCAACGAUACAUAGCCGACCUGAGAGGGUGAUCGGCCACACUGGGACGGAGACACGGCCCAGACUCCUACGGGAGGCAGCAGUAGGGAAUCUUCGGCAAUGGACGGAAGUCUGACCGAGCAACGCCGCGGGAGUGAAGAAGGUUGUCGGAUCGUAAAGCUCUGUUGUAAGAGAAGAACGAGUGUGAGAGUGGAAAGUUCACACUGCGACGGUAUCUUACCAGAAAGGGACGGCUAACUACGUG